GGGGACGUAGCUCAAUGGCAGAGCAGCAUAAAAACCCGUCAGCCAAUAUUCGCCUCAAGGGGCCGCGGGGUGAUGGUUAUCGCUAGUAACGAGCAGGUUGUGGGUUCAAGUCCCACCGUCUCCA
rnacentral:tRNA from 1 species